rnacentral:rRNA from 1 species
GUCCAGACUCCUACGGGAGGCAGCAGUGGGGAAUAUUGCACAAUGGGCGCAAGCCUGAUGCAGCCAUGCCGCGUGUGUGAAGAAGGCCUUCGGGUUGUAAAGCACUUUCAGCAGUGAGGAAGGCGGGUACGUUAAUAGCGUGCUCGUUUGACGUUAGCUGCAGAAGAAGCACCGGCUAACUCCGUGCCAGCAGCCGCGGUAAUACGGAGGGUGCGAGCGUUAAUCGGAAUUACUGGGCGUAAAGCGCAUGCAGGUGGUUUGUUAAGUCAGAUGUGAAAGCCCGGGGCUCAACCUCGGAACAGCAUUUGAAACUGGCAGACUAGAGUACUGUAGAGGGGGGUAGAAUUUCAGGUGUAGCGGUGAAAUGCGUAGAGAUCUGAAGGGAAUACCGGUGGCGAAUGCGGCCCCCUGGACAGAUACUGACACUCAGAUGCGAAAGCGUGGGGAGCAAACAGGAUUAGAUACCCUGGUAGUCCACGCCGUAAACGAUGUCUACUUGGAGGUUGUGGCCUUGAGCCGUGGCUUUCGGAGCUAACGCGUUAAGUAGACCGCCCUGGGGAGUACGGUCGCAAGAUUAAAACUCAAAUGAAUUGACGGGGGCCCGCACAAGCGGUGGAGCAUGUGGUUUAAUUCGAUGCAACGCGAAGAACCUUACCUACUCUUGACAUCCAGAGAACUUAGCAGAGAUGCUUUGGUGCCUUCGGGAGCUCUGAGACAGGUGCUGCAUGGCUCGUCGUCAGCUCGUGUUGUGAAAUGUUGGGUUAAGUCCCGCAACGAGCGCAACCCUUAUCCUUGUUUGCCAGCACUUCGGGUGGGAACUCCAGGGAGACUGCCGGUGAUAAACCGGAGGAAGGUGGGGACGACGUCAAGUCAUCAUGGCCCUUACGAGUAGGGCUACACACGUGCUACAAUGGCGCAUACAGAGGGCAGCCAACUUGCGAGAGUGAGCGAAUCCCAAAAAGUG